CAUAUAAAAUUUGUGAAGGAUAGAACAUUUGUGCAAAAUUUCUGAGGUGAGAUCAAGCUUGGCAUCUUUGAGAAAACAGGUAUUAAUAUCUUUUUCUACAAUGCUUAUUCUAUUAGAUCCUCUCAUACUGUACUUCAUCAAUCAAAAACAUGCCUUUUUGCCCCACAUUUUAAUACCUGUAAGUCAAUAUUUCUUAAAAUUCAUUACAUAAAAAAGUAUUGUGUCACAAUUUAAUUGGCAGCUAUUUUUUCUUAGCAGUACAUACAAUUGAUACAUCUUACAACUAAUGCCAUCUUAGAUUCUCUGAAAUAUGUUUUUUUAAAUUUCCUGACUUUACAUCUUU
rnacentral:lncRNA from 1 species